rfam:Salmo salar isolate Sally breed double haploid chromosome ssa05, whole genome shotgun sequence.
UCCCCUGUGGCUCAGUUGGUAGAGCAUGGUGCUUGCAAUGUCAGGGUUGUGGGUUCGAUUCCCACGGGGGAC